rnacentral:lncRNA from 1 species
CUGGAACACCACUUCUCUACUACAUUUCCCAGAAUCCUCUUUGACUCCUAGUCCAGCCUAACUUGCUGUCUCAUUGGCCAAGCAAGUACUUUAUUUAACAAUCAAUAAGAUAAACAUACACAGAAGUAUUUCCCCCAUCAUAUGGCCAUGGGCCAUUUUGACAGAGAAAAUCUUCAAUUAAUACUAAUUCUUCCCAGAUGAUUCCAACAUGUGUCAAGUUGACAAAAAAAAAUUAAGCAGCUCACUCGAAUUUCAGGCAAUCAUCAAUAAGCCAAGCAUUGCAGAUGAAGAUGUAGAAAGAUUCUAAGAACCAGAGAUAGUAUAUACUCUGGCCAGGAUGCCUGCUGUGAGACAGUGUCUUCUAGACAUCACAGAAAAACUGUGCUAAUGAAAUAUCAACAACAUGGUUGCCUAAACAAGACAUGCAUAAGGACCACAUCAAAGGACAAAUCAACAUGGGUGAAGGAAGUUUCACAAGGCCCUACCCUUGAUGAAGAAGUACGGGUAAGAAACUCAUGGCAGCUGGCAGGGGGACAAUCCAUUUUCUCCAAGGACAAACUCCACAAUAGGUUUUCCAAUCCCUUGAACACAUGUACGUAGAAGUAACACUAAAUGGUCUCAGCAGGUUACACAUGCACACAUACACAUACACACUAUAUAAUAUAUACUAAUACAUACACAGACACAUACAUACUAUAUUAAUAUAUGCAUAUACAUACCAUGCAACACAUAUACAUACAUAUAUAUGUGAGUAAACAUAUUCUAUGUAACAUAUAUUAAUACACACACGUGUGUGUAUGUGUUUAUGUGUGUAUUCUGAUUACUGUCGUGUUUCUUCCUGAAUGGUAUACCUGUUGUUUGUCCCUUCUCUUAGUUUUGUGACCCCUUUGAACAAUCUGGGUAUUUCUGAACUUUUUUCUUUCUACUCUAAUUUGGUGACUGCCUUUAUCUUUUGGCCUUCUAAGCUGUUUUGAACUACUUGAGCUAUUACAGUUUCUGUGACAGGCCUUGUCAGCUUGAAAGUUCUUUGAACAAAUUUGGAUUUCUGUUGAGCACCGAGUGUCUCCCUUGUGAUGGGGAAUGUUAAAACACAUUUGUCUCUUUGACUCUGCUGAGGUCUUAAGUUUGUGUUGGAACAUUUGAGACAGAGAAACAAGGGUUUUCAGAUGUCUACUGUGAUUUGUGUAACCAUGGAAAAUGUCAAGUAUAUACUAUCUUGGUGCCUUCUAGGGAGAAUUCUAACUGACUCAUUUUUUUGUAAGGUUGUGAUAGAUUCUAAAGGAGCACCUGGUACUAAAGAAAUUGAUUCUCUCUUUCCACCAUGUGGGUCCCAGGAUCAAACUCAGGUGAUCAGGCUAGGCAGCACGAGCUUUUACCCACAGAGCCAUCUUGCCUGCCCUUGAUCUCAAAUACUGAAUCUACACUUCUGGGAUUUCUAGGGACUCCAAGAAAGCUAGUCUGCCCCUUGAAUUCUUAAAAAUAAAUGACUAGCAAGCCUCUGGACAUUCGUUUUUAAAUUUCUUUCUGAACGUAAGCACAUCUUAAAAAUUGCUAUUCUUGUCCCACACAGCCAAUGAAGACCUGCCUGACAGCAAUCCCUGGACACCCUGGAAAGAAAAUGGGCCACACCUCCUCGACUGCACUGGAUCCAACUUGCUCCAUUUCAACUGACACUCCGGCCAGAGGGUACUGACUUCAAUCAAGUUGAGGAUUUCAAGCGAGAUCUUCAAUCAAGUGAAUCCCAUCUAACAUGGACUGGAUACAAUUCAUUCAAGACUUUCACUAUACUAACAUUUUCUUCCUACAGGACCCCACAUGACUAUCAUCAUCCCAUUUCAGCAGGAAGUAACUUGGAGAAUGCUACGCCCC